GAUGAACGCUGGCGGCGUGCCUAAUACAUGCAAGUCGAGCGAACAGACGAGGAGCUUGCUCCUCUGACGUUAGCGGCGGAUGGGCGAGUAACACGUGGAUAACCUACCUAUAAGACUGGGAUAACUUCGGGAAACCGGAGCUAAUACCGGAUAAUAUAUUGAACCGCAUGGUUCAAUAGUGAAAGACGGUUUUGCUGUCACUUAUAGAUGGAUCCGCGCCGCAUUAGCUAGUUGGUAAGGUAACGGCUUACCAAGGCAACGAUGCGUAGCCGACCUGAGAGGGUGAUCGGCCACACUGGAACUGAGACACGGUCCAGACUCCUACGGGAGGCAGCAGUAGGGAAUCUUCCGCAAUGGGCGAAAGCCUGACGGAGCAACGCCGCGUGAGUGAUGAAGGUCUUCGGAUCGUAAAACUCUGUUAUUACGGAAGAACAAAUGUGUAAGUAACUAUGCACGUCUUGACGGUACCUAAUCAGAAAGCCACGGCUAACUACGUG
rnacentral:rRNA from 1 species